GCGCCUGACGUGUCCCUGUGGGAAGUGCGCGCCCGCCCUGUUUUGUUUCCGGGGGAAUCCGCUCUCGGAGGGACGCUCGGGACUGUGAAUGUUCUCUUUCGCCUCUGAUUGGCUGGUUUUGUGAAUUCAUUAUCGCUCAAAACGGAGCUGCAGCUAAGCAUCUGCCUUGGGACUCAACAGCAGUGCUGAAACAGGACUUUGGCAACUCUUGCAGCUGGACUAAAUGCCUUUUGCAUAAAGGGAUGUGCAUGAGUCUUGGGGGCCCAAGGACAAAAUGUUAUGUUUCUAAUGUAACACAAUGUUCAGACUUUAAGGAUAGUUAAGUUGCAAAAUGUUAAGAAUAAGCAGGCCUUUGUAUCUGGAGGCUGGUUUAAAGAAAUGUCUGGUUGCCAAGUUGACAAGGGGUCUAUGAUUGAUACAUUGUAUCAACUUGAGAAGUUUAAAAGUUUAAUCCAUAGGCUCAGCAGGGAGCCAGGGCUCUUACUUUGUAAAUAUCACCUUGUACAAAGGAGGCAAGAUUUUGUGAGUGCUACACCCUUGCUGGGGCAGCAGAGGAGUGCUGGGGCAGCAGAGGAGUGCCGGGACCUGCCUAUAGUACAAGUUAGAAGAGACCUGUUCCUUUUGCUCUGGAUGCUGCCUUUAAGUGCUGCACCGUGCAGUGCCACCCUGCUUUGGAGCCAGCUGAGUAAGGACUGAAACCUCCACAAACUAAUAAAUAAAUCUUCUCUUCCUUCA